GGGUGAUUAAUGUUUGAAAACUGUUCAUGAAGUAUGUACUGCUUAAAUUAAAAUAAUAAUUUGCGAAGCUUUAACGCAAACACCGCAAUGCUUGUAAACAUAGUUUUUAUUGUUGUGACUUUAGCGAAAUAUGCAGAAUGUGCCUGUGUAAGCUGGAGCAGUUGUUCGCACAGCUGCGGUGGUGGUGUGAAAGGAAUGACGUGCUCGUUUGGUACUUUUAUAGCUGAGAUACACUAUGCUUUUUGCAACGAGUUUUGCUACAAUGGCGGGAUUUACAAAUCGAGUUGUUCCUGUCCCAUCUGGAGGACUGGAGAGUGCUGUGAAGCUUGCCAGCAUAUUUCAAUCCAGCACUGUGUGCAAGGACAACAAGAAUGUGGUGGCAGUCCAGACGGGAUACAGUGUACACAGUGUAAUCUCCCUUACCGCUCAGCAGGUUACAACAAGG